rnacentral:rRNA from 1 species
GUGUCAGCAGCCGCGGUAAUACAGAGGUCUCAAGCGUUGUUCGGAAUCACUGGGCGUAAAGGGUGCGUAGGUGGCGUGGAAAGUCAGAUGUGAAAUCCGGAGGCUCAACCUCCGAAUUGCAUCCGAUACUCCCAUGCUAGAGAACUGGAGGGGAGUCUGGAAUUCUCGGUGUAGCAGUGAAAUGCGUAGAUAUCGAGAGGAACACUAGUGGCGAAGGCGAGACUCUGGACAGUUUCUGACACUGAUGCACGAAGGUCAGGGGAGCAAACGGGAUUAGAUACCCCUGUAGUCC